CACUUUUCUAUUUGGUGCUUGUAGACGUUAUGGGAAAGUUGUCUCUCUCCCCCCACCCCUCCCCCUCCGGCUCCCCCUUCCCCUUCCCCUUCUAUCCGUCUGUCAUGUGCUAGGGAUAUGCUCAUGCUUUGCACAGAGCAGCCGAAGCACGACUAAUGCAGGCAACUGAGUGUUAACGGCAAUUUUAAAGUGAUGCCCCCCCCCAUCAAAUAUCACGGCUGGGAUAUUUGAGGGGAACAGACACCACAUCACGGUUCACAGGGAGCCGUGUGAACACCGCUGCUCUUCCCCCUGCUCGGGACGCUUUCUGCUCGGUUGCUGUGAUUUCGAUCACCUCGAGGAACGAUGGAGAAGAGCUACGCAGAACUACAGGCUGCAGGUAGUAGAGGUCGAGAUGACAUCUGAGAUUUUGCUGUCCAUUGGACCCACAUAAGGUGCGAUGGAGAUCUCGUGGAUUGUGACUCAGAAAUAAAUGGCACAAUGUUUGGAUUCUUCAGGCUGAAGACGUCAAGGAUAUUCAGCUGAGCUCAAAGGUAAACAAGUCAUCCUGAUCAACAAGAGUUUUCAUCGGAAUAGGAGCAUCAAGACACUUAACAUUACUCUGCAACCCUUGAACCUGCACUGUACUUUCCAUUGCUGUUUUUCUGUCAAUUGGUUGCAUACUCCUGCACUACUGGUCAAACAGACUAAUCCUGUGACCAUGCACUAACUGUAACAACCAAUUGUGUUUUAUAUUUUGUUAUUCUAAAUGGGAGAAUACUUAGAAUAAAAAUAUUUCUCACGUUCAAACCCAUUUUCUUUUCAUGUAAUUAUUUGAGUCUAAAAAGUAUAUAUUUUUGGCAGCUUAAUAAAAGCCUUUUCUUCUUUUAACUGAUGUUUUAGUGUGAGUUAUUUCUCUCCUUUCUGUGUAGUGGGUGUGCACUCCAAGUAAAAAACAAUGUGCUUGACAUAAUUGGGUCCUAUUUGGCUAUGAAAAGAGCACGCGUGCUGAUAAAAGCUGGAAGGGUGAUCAAAGCACAAUGCGUCCCGAUCGACAUCAUACGCAUGACAUGGUUGUAGUUUAUCCUGACAGAUUAAUGAAACGUGAGGAAACAGGGGAAACAGGUUCAGACAGUUUCCAAGAAGCCUUCCUGUUCAUAAUCAGCUCCUUUUUAUAUUUUGUGCACGUCCUCUGACUAACAAAUAAAAUGUGCCUGUGUGUGCAUAACAUGGAACAAUUAAAAAACUGCAAUGAUUGGAUGCAUAUUCUCUGCACCUCCUUGUGUUGCCAUUUCCUCUCUGUCAGGUUUAAGUUUGAUCAAAGAAAAGUAGGACAAUUUCUGUGUAGUAUUCAUGGCAAAGUUUUCCUUAAAAAAAUGUAAACUGUAAGACGAAUAAAAAGUAGGAUCCUUUGGGA